UAUUAGACUGUCAUAUCUAGUUAGGACCCGA
rnacentral:piRNA from 1 species